rnacentral:sRNA from 1 species
AGUGGGCCAAGAGCUUUAUUUAGCUGCCCUGAAAUCUCAGACCUGGAACAAGACUCCUAAGCAGGUGUCCUUGCUGCCCAAGAGGACAAAAGCUUGUGAGCUGGCUUGGCCUCUCCGGGAAGACAGCCA